GAUGAACGCUGGCGGCGUGCCUAAUACAUGCAAGUCGAGCGAACAGACGAGGAGCUUGCUCCUCUGAUGUUAGCGGCGGACGGGUGAGUAACACGUGGAUAACCUACCUAUAAGACUGGGAUAACUUCGGGAAACCGGAGCUAAUACCGGAUAACAUGUUGAACCGCAUGGUUCAAUAGUGAAAGACGGUUUUGCUGUCACUUAUAGAUGGAUCCGCGCCGCAUUAGCUAGUUGGUAAGGUAACGGCUUACCAAGGCAACGAUGCGUAGCCGACCUGAGAGGGUGAUCGGCCACACUGGAACUGAGACACGGUCCAGACUCCUACGGGAGGCAGCAGUAGGGAAUCUUCCGCAAUGGGCGAAAGCCUGACGGAGCAACGCCGCGUGAGUGAAGAAGGUCUUCGGAUCGUAAAACUCUGUUAUUAGGGAAGAACAAAUGUGUAAGUAACUAUGCACGUCUUGACGGUACCUAAUCAGAAAGCCACGGCUAACUACGUG
rnacentral:rRNA from 1 species